rnacentral:rRNA from 1 species
UACGUAGGGGGCAAGCGUUGUCCGGAUUUAUUGGGCGUAAAGAGCGUGUAGGCGGCCAGGUAGGUCUGCUGUGAAAACUCGGGGCUCAACCCCGAGAUGUCGGCGGAAACCCUCUGGCUAGAGUCCGGAAGAGGAGAGUGGAAUUCCCGGUGUAGCGGUGAAAUGCGCAGAUAUCGGGAAGAAUAUCCGUGGCGAAGGCGGCUCUCUGGUACGGUACUGACGCUGAGACGCGAAAGCGUGGGGAGCGAACAGGAUUAGAUACCCCCGUGUACGUCC